rnacentral:lncRNA from 1 species
GCUGGUGCCCCCUUCCCUUUCUCUUUGGCUUUAACAAAGUCACAGCAUUUGGUCCAUUGAGGGGGGAAAGGUACAAAGGUUUUCAUAAAAGGUAUCUGUUUUGACUUUUGAUACAUCCAGUUCAUCCACCGACAAAGUGUAGAUGCAGCUGAGUUUAAGCUUUCCCCUUUUAUCCAAAACAAAGAUGGAGACAAAUCGAAGCUAAUAUCAUAUUCAACUCCCACAUCAGAGAAUAAGCCCAUGGAAGAUCCGCACAACAGAGUUCUGCUAUAAAAACAGAUCAAGAAAACAACAUCAAAGGUAUAGACAGGAAGGAGAAAAAAACUUCUUUUUUAUCUCUUUAAAAUGGAAAAUUUUUUGAUUUUAUCUCAUUGCUCCUCCUCUCCUUCCUAGAUGAAUUUUUUGGAGAAAAAAGAAAAAAGAAGAAAGUAACUCUAACAUUGUGAUGCAUGAAAUGGUUCCUAUGGUUCUCAUGAAGGACAUACUGAUAUAUAAUAUCAACAUUAUAUAAGAAUUUAUGUGUAAAAAUUCUGCAUUAAGUUUAUACUAAUCUCGUCAAGCAGUGUUCAGGGACUAGUUCAAGCUUAUUUUCACAAACACCCCCUUCAUAGAAAAUUAUCGCAUAUGUAUCUCUUCUUCUGAGAUGUGCCCUUUCUACUAUCUGUAGUCUUUUGUUUGAACUAGUUCCCACAAUUGGCCUGCCGGGAGUGCCCAAGCUUAAUGUGACUAUUUUUAAAUACAACCCUCUUAAGUAUAUAGUGAACUGACGUCGCAUAAAUUUUCCUCAUCUACUAUUCUACAGCCUUAAAAUCAUUCUGACAUCAUAUAUUUUUUUGAAGAAUACAGAAAUAGAUCCAU